GUGAGGAAUAUUGGUCAAUGGAGGCAACUCUGAACCAGCCAUGCCGCGUGCAGGAAGACGGUCCUAUGGAUUGUAAACUGCUUUUAUUUAGGAAUAAACCCCCGGUCGUGCACCGGGGCUGAAUGUACUAAAAGAAUAAGCACCGGCUAACUCCGUGCCAGCAGCCGCGGUAAUACGGAGGGUGCAAGCGUUAUCCGGAAUCAUUGGGUUUAAAGGGUCCGCAGGCGGGUAAAUUAGUCAGAGGUGAAAUCCGGCAGCUCAACUGUCGCACUGCCUUUUAUACUGUUUAUCUUGAAUUUUAGUGGAGUGGGCGGAAUAUGUUAUGUAGCGGUGAAAUGCUUAGAUAUGACGUGGAACACCGAUAGCGAAGGCAGCUCACUAACUAUGAAUUGACGCUCAUGGACGAAAGCGUGGGUAGCAAACAGGAUUAGAAACCCGAGUAGUCC
rnacentral:rRNA from 1 species